rnacentral:lncRNA from 10 species
UCUGUGCAUUAUGAUGACCUCCUUUGUCAGACUGUUAACAGAGGAUGUCCAACCAAACAGUGGCCCUUCUGCAGGAAUUUAGAUUCAAGAUGAGGAAACGCCAAGAAAUCGGAGAACUCUGUCUUUAGGUUGAAUAACAUUGAAGAGCAGAAUAGGAUGCAUCUACCUAACUUUACAGACAUUGGAACCUGGAUCUUGGAUUUCUCAUAUUCAAGUGGCUGUUGCUAAAUAUAUUGAUGGGGAUAGGAUAUAAAAUGGCCAUAACACAAAAUAGUGGUACUAAGCUUUCUAAAGUUGGAGAAGGUUGCUUUCCUCUGUAUAUACAACUUCUUGAUCUAUGAAUCCAACCAAAAAUUGGUUGCUGCUAUUACAGAAAUCUGUCCACAUUUGUAUGUUUCAGUUUGGAUAUGCUCAGCUGUAAAUAACGUAAUACUUAAUUAAAAGUAAGGGUGAAUUCAUCUGACAUAAUAAUAAAUAUAAGGAGAAAACAUUAGAGGAUUGAUAUACCAGCUCAACAGUGUCAUCUGCACCCAGAUUCUCAUAGUCCCUUUGUUUUUCCAUCUUCAUCAUGUAGAGGCUGUCUCCCAUCCCAAGUGUAAAAUGACCACCAUUGCCCCAAGCAUCCUACUCUCAGAGUACAGCACUCCAAGCAAGGAAAAAGGAGCUGUGAGCAAAGGGGCUUCCUCAUCUUGCUGUUCCUUACCAUUUGUUUAUUUUUUGGUGGGCAAGGAAAAUAUUUCUCCCAUGUCCUUCUAUAUUCUUCUGGGUAGAACCAAGUUAAAUGCUGGUGUGUGCGUGUGUGUGUGUGUGUAAUUUUUUGUAUAUUAUUAUGUUUUAAAAUCUUAAAAACCUUUCUGGCUGAAGAGACUGCCCCUCCUGGGUCUAGAGGAUUCUUGGAGAUGCUGAAGGGCUCUGCUGAGGACAUGUCUUUAAUGUGCAAACUAACCAAUCCAGAGUCAUAUCUCCUCUGUUGGGCCCACAUACCUCAGAAAUACACCCAGGAGGCAAUAUUCUUCUGCCUUAAUCAUCCCAGGGCCAGGUUUCAGGCAACUAGACCACUUUUCUAGCUUAGAGCCAACAGAACUUAUUCAAACUAGCCAAUCCUACAUGAUUUACUUUGCCCUGUCUUGUUUUUCCCUUUAAAGACCUUGGCCUAAGUUCUUUCCUAGCUCCUGUCUUCUGCCACCUGACCAAAACCUGGCACUUCCCAUAUGGCCCCAGUGGCAUGUGGCAACCCCCUCUCUAGGACCUGUGAGUAUAAUAAACUUUGCUUUCUUAUGCUUCUCCCGUGUCUCCUUGGCCUUAUCUGACUGACCAUCACAUAAAAGAACAGAACAAAUGCCCACCCGCAGGUUAAUCACUGGCAAUAAGAAAUGGAGUCAGCAAGGCUGAUGUAGACAAAUUCUGGUUCAACGCUGAGGCUUAAAACAUUAACACCCAAAUAAAACUAGAGUCUCCCAUUAGCUAACAAGGAUGAAAGUGGGCUUGGUUAAACAGGCAACCCACAUUGUCUAUCGGCACACAUUUCUAAAUGUACUGCAUUUUAUCAAUUUUACCAUACGUAUGUUUUUCACAUUUUGAUAUCUCUAAAGUUGGAGAGCAUCUUGCAUACACCAUUGGCCAUUUUUUAUGCAAUUGAUAUCUUGCAAAUCAGUUUAUCUUACCGUUGAUGAUUCCUUAGAUUGAAUGAAAUAUACAAUUGCACUCUGCUUGAUUGUCUGUCACCCACUCAACAUUGUCUGUAUUCCGUGCCACACUUGUCUCUAUAUUUUGGGGGAAAAGCUUGGAAACUGCAUUUUCUAUAAUCUAUCGCCAGCAGAUUUCAUGUUAAAUUCUGCCAGGGAAAGAUACUCUUUGAUAUUUGGUAAGAAAAGAGAAGUCAUUAUUCCCAGGUGUGUGGGUGAUGGUAGAUGGCACGCAUGAAGUUUUGUUUGAUGUUUUCAAAAGAGAUCCUUUUGAGAAUCACCUAAUUUUGUGCUGAAGGGAGCUGAAAUCAUUGAUGGUGGCAUCCUUAAAAUUCCCAUAUUUUUGAUUUCCUGAAAGCCAGCAGUGGCCUCCCUGAUAUUUCUUCCCCCAUCCCUCACAAAGGUUGUCAAAGACUCCAAAUUCUCUGUAUUGAAUCCUUUCCUAGAGUGGUCUCUGUUGUCUGGACUAAACUUUUAUUGACAC